rnacentral:rRNA from 1 species
UAAAGGUGGCUUUUGGGCUGUCGCAGAUGGAUGAGCCUGCGUUGGAUUAGCUAGUUGGUGGGGUAAGGGCCUACCAAGGCUACGAUCCAUAGCUGAUUUGAGAGGAUGAUCAGCCACAUUGGGACUGAGACACGGCCCAAACUCCUACGGGAGGCAGCAGUGAGGAAUAUUGGACAAUGGGGGCAACCCUGAUCCAGCAAUGCCAUGUGUGUGAAGAAGGCCUUAGGGUUGUAAAGCACUUUAGUUGGGGAAGAAAGCUUUGAGGUUAAUAGCCUUGAGGAAAAGGACGUUACCCAAAGAAUAAGCACCGGCUAACUCCGUGCCAGCAGCCGCGGUAAUACGGGGGGUGCAAGCGUUAAUCGGAAUUACUGGGCGUAAAGGGUCUGUAGGUGGUUUGUUAAGUCAGAUGUGAAAGCCUAGGGCUCAACCUUGGAACUGCAUUUGAUACUGGUAAACUAGAGUACGGUAGAGGAAUGGGGAAUUUCUGGUGUAGCGGUGAAAUGCGUAGAGAUCAGAAGGAACACCAAUGGCGAAGGCAACAUUCUGGACCGAUACUGACACUGAGGGACGAAAGCGUGGGGAUCAAACAGGAUUAGAUACCCUGGUAGUCCACGCUGUAAACGAUGAGUACUAGCUGUUGGAGUCGGUGUAAAGGCUCUAGUGGCGCAGCUAACGCGAUAAGUACUCCGCCUGGGGACUACGGCCGCAAGGCUAAAACUCAAAGGAAUUGACGGGGACCCGCACAAGCGGUGGAGCAUGUAGUUUAAUUCGAUGCAACGCGAAGAACCUUACCUGGUCUUGACAUCCUGCGAUCUUUCUAGAGAUAGAUUGGUGCCUUCGGGAACGCAGUGACAGGUGCUGCACGGCUGUCGUCAGCUCGUGUUGUGAAAUGKUUGGGUUAAGUCCCGCAACGAGCGC